AUUGAACGCUGGCGGCAUGCUUUACACAUGCAAGUCGAACGGUAACAGGCCGCAAGGUGCUGACGAGUGGCGAACGGGUGAGUAAUGCAUCGGAACGUGCCCAGUCGUGGGGGAUAACGCAGCGAAAGCUGCGCUAAUACCGCAUACGAUCUAUGGAUGAAAGCGGGGGACCGUAAGGCCUCCCGCGAUUGGAGCGGCCGAUGUCAGAUUAGGUAGUUGGUGGGGUAAAGGCUCACCAAGCCAACGAUCUGUAGCUGGUCUGAGAGGACGACCAGCCACACUGGGACUGAGACACGGCCCAGACUCCUACGGGAGGCAGCAGUGGGGAAUUUUGGACAAUGGGCGCAAGCCUGAUCCAGCAAUGCCGCGUGCAGGAAGAAGGCCUUCGGGUUGUAAACUGCUUUUGUACGGAACGAAAGGGCUCUGGUUAAUACCUGGGGCUCAUGACGGUACCGUAAGAAUAAGCACCGGCUAACUACGUGCCAGCCGCCGCCGUAAAAC
rnacentral:rRNA from 1 species